ACUCAUACCUUACAAGGGAAAUACCAUGGUCAUGAAAGUGGUUUUCCCAGGGUGAGGCUAAUCCAUUGCACUUCAGGUGUGCUGAUCCCUGUGAUUUCCCCAAAUGUGAGGAACUCAACUGCAUAUUUUGUGGUAGUGGGGGAUUGCAUUUGUGCUUUCCCUGG
rnacentral:snRNA from 1 species